GCGGGUAUGGCGAAAUUGGUAGACGCGCUGGAUUUAGGUUCCAGUGGGGAAACCCAUAGGAGUUCGAGUCUCCUUACCCGCACCA
rnacentral:tRNA from 1 species